AACGCACAUUGCGCCCCUUGGCAUUCCGAGGGGCAUGCCCGUUCGAGCGUCAUUAAAUCCAAUCAAGCCUGGCUUGGUCUUGGGUGUCGGGGUCCCCCCGCGCCUCAAUUUCGUCGGCUGGUCGCGUCUGUCUUUUAGCGUUGUGACACCAUUUUCGUUAAAGCAGGUUCGGUCCACGCCGUGAUAACCCCCUAAAUUUCAAUCGAAAUUUGAUUAGGUUGACCUCGGAUCGGGUAGGAAUACCCGCUGAACUUAA
rnacentral:misc_RNA from 1 species